CCUGUCCGCCUCAUUUUCAAACACAAGCAUUCGAAUAGCCACGACCCAUAGUUCAUGCAAGCGGUCCUAGGUCACGCCGGCAAUAUAGCCAGCCUACACGUCCUCACCGACAACAGAGCCAGCAGCCGACAACGCAGACGGCCUCCAAAAAAGAAUAGGUCGAUGACGGCCGAGGGGCGCGGCAUGGACAGUGCGAUCAUGCUGACU
rnacentral:lncRNA from 1 species